AUACGUAGGGGGCGAGCGUUGUCCGGAAUGAUUGGGCGUAAAGGGCGCGUAGGCGGCCCGGUAAGUCUGGAGUGAAAGUCCUGUUUUUAAGAUGGGAAUUGCUUUGGAUACUGUCGGGCUUGAGUGCAGGAGAGGUAAGUGGAAUUCCCAGUGUAGCGGUGAAAUGCGUAGAGAUUGGGAGGAACACCAGUGGCGAAGGCGACUUACUGGACUGUAACUGACGCUGAGGCGCGAAAGUGUGGGGAGCAAACAGGAUUAGAUACCCUGGUAGUCCACACUGUAAACGAUGAAUGCUAGGUGUAGGGGGUAUCGACCCCUUCUGUGCCGCAGUCAACACAAUAAGCAUUCCGCCUGGGGAGUACGGCCGCAAGGUUGAAACUCAAAGGAAUUGACGG
rnacentral:rRNA from 1 species